rnacentral:misc_RNA from 1 species
AAGUCGUAACAAGGUUUCCGUAGGUGAACCUGCGGAAGGAUCAUUAUUGAAUUUUAAUAAAGAGUUUGGUUGUAGCUGGUCUAUUUAUUUAGGCAUGUGCACACCUUUCUCUUUCAUCCCAUACACACCUGUGAACUUGUGAGACAGUUGGGGAAUUUAUUUGUUAUUUUUUGUAAUAAAAUUAUAAUAAGUCAUUGAACCCUUCUGUCUACUCAACUUAUAUAAACUCAAUUUAUUUUAAAUGAAUGUAAUGGAUGUAACACAUCUCAUACUAAGUUUCAACAACGGAUCUCUUGGCUCUC